rnacentral:rRNA from 1 species
CCUACGGGAGGCAGCAGUGAGGAAUAUUGGUCAAUGGGCGGGAGCCUGAACCAGCCAAGUCGCGUGAGGGACGACGGUCCUAUGGAUUGUAAACCGCUGUUGUCGGGGAACAAAGGCGCCCACGGGUGGGCGGAUGAGUGUACCCGAAGAAAAAGCAUCGGCUAACGCCGUGCCAGCAGCCGCGGUAAUACGGAGGAUGCGAGCGUUCUCCGGAUUUAUUGGGUUUAAAGGGUGCGUAGGCGGACAGUCAAGUCAGCGGUAAAAAUGCGGUGCUCAACGCCGUACAGCCGUUUAAACUGGCAGUCUUGAGUGGGCGAGACGUAUGCGGAAUGCGUGGUGUAGCGGUGACAUGCAUAGAUCUCACGCAGAACUCCGCUUGCGAAGGCAGCCUACUAAACUGCCACUGACAUUGAUGCUCGAAAGUGUGGGUAUCAAACAGGAUUAGCUACCCCUGUAGUC